rnacentral:rRNA from 1 species
GAUGAACGCUAGCUACAGGCUUAACACAUGCAAGUCGAGGGGCAGCAUGAUUGAAGCUUGCUUCAAUCGAUGGCGACCGGCGCACGGGUGAGUAACACGUAUCCAACCUGCCGAUAACUCGGGGAUAGCCUUUCGAAAGAAAGAUUAAUACCCGAUAGUAUAGUAUUUCCGCAUGGUUUCACUAUUAAAGAACUUCGGUUAUCGAUGGGGAUGCGUUCCAUUAGAUAGUUGGCGGGGUAACGGCCCACCAAGUCAACGAUGGAUAGGGGUUCUGAGAGGAAGGUCCCCCACAUUGGAACUGAGACACGGGCCAAACUCCUACGGGAGGCAGCAGUGAGGAAUAUUGGUCAAUGGACGAGAGUCUGAACCAGCCAAGUAGCGUGAAGGAUGACUGCCCUAUGGGUUGUAAACUUCUUUUAUACGGGAAUAAAGUGGAGUAUGCAUACUCCUUUGUAUGUACCGUAUGAAUAAGGAUCGGCUAACUCCGUG